CAGCAGUCAAGAAUAUUAGUCAAUGCUCGCAAGAGUGAACUAGCUAACUGAAAUCAUAUGACUCACUCUGUUGAUGAAUAUGAUAACGUAAGGGAAAAAAAUGAUAUUACCUUACUAUUAGUGUUGUCCAAAACUGGUGCCAGAAGACUCGGUAAGGCCAGAGACGCAAACGUUAGUCGUCCUAAUCAGGCGUAAAGGGUAUGUAGGCUGCUUUAAAUUUUAUCUAAUUAAUAGCUCUGUAGUAUAAUAUUAAUAUUUAUUUUAUAUAUAUUUCAGUAAAGAUAAAAUAAAUUAAAGCUAGGAUCAAAUUGAGGAUAAACCAAAUAAUACUUAGUGUAGGGUUGAUAUCUAUAGAUACUAAGGGGAAUACUAAAGGUGAAAGCUUUUUAUCUAGUAAUGAUUGACGCUGAGAAACGAAGGUGAGAAUAGGAAAUAGGAUUAGAUACCCAGAUACCUCUCACUGUCAACGAUGAAUGGUGGUUGUUAGUUUUAAUAAAAACUGGUAACGAUGUUAACACGAUAACCAUUCCGCCUUGCGAGUACGGUUGCAAAACUGAAACCAAAAAAAUUAGUCGGUCUCGAAGCAAACGAAGUGAAGCAUGUUAUUUAAUUCGA
rnacentral:rRNA from 1 species